rnacentral:rRNA from 1 species
CCUUUGUACACACCGCCCGUCGCUAGUACCGAUUGAAUGGCUUAGUGAGACCUCCGGAUUGGCGUCUCAUGGGGGGCAACCUCCUAGAGAUGCUGAGAAGCUGGUCAAACUUGGUCAUUUAGAGG